GCUGGAAAAGUUCAGCUGGUGGAACAUGAGACUCUUGAUCACAGGGUUGUGGGUCUGAAUCCCACCUUGGGCA